rnacentral:rRNA from 1 species
UGCCGCGUGCAGGAUGACAUGCCCUACUGGGUUGUAAACUGUCUUUUAUACAGGAAUAAACCGACGGACGUGUACCUUGUUGUAUGUACCGUACGAAUAAGGAUCGGCUAACUCCGUGCCAGCAGCCGCGGUAAUACGGAGGAUCCGAGCGUUAUCCGGAUUUAUUGGGUUUAAAGGGUCCGUAGGCGGACUUAUAAUUCAGUGGUGAAAGUUUGUCGCUCAACUCUACAAGUGCCCUUGAUACUGUACUUCUUGAGUAUAUUUGAGGUAAGGGGAAUGGAUUUUGUAGCGGUGAAAUGCAUAGAUUUUACUUGCAACACAAAUUGCGAAGGCAGGUUACUCCCCUGGGACUGACGCUGAGGCACGAAAGCGUGGGGAUCGAACAGGAUUAGAUACCCUGGUAGUCCACGCCGUAAACGAUGAUUACUCGCUGUUUGCCAUAUACUGUCUGAGUCCAAGCGAAAGCGAUAAGUUGCCACCUGGGGAGUACGCUCGCAAG